rnacentral:rRNA from 1 species
UACGUAGGGUGCAAGCGUUGUCCGGAAUUAUUGGGCGUAAAGGGCGCGUAGGCGGCUUUGCAAGUGACGGGUGAAAUCCCUCGGCUUAACCGAGGAACUGCCUGUCAAACUGCAUGGCUUGAGACCGGGAGAGGUGAGUGGAAUUCCCAGUGUAGCGGUGAAAUGCGUAGAUAUUGGGAGGAACACCAGUGGCGAAGGCGGCUCACUGGACCGGUACUGACGCUGAGACGCGAAAGCGUGGGUAGCGAACAGG